rfam:Culex flavivirus genomic RNA, complete genome, strain: Tokyo
AACCCCGUAAGGAAGGACAAGGCUGUCCUUGAGUACUAACGACACUCCGGCCCCA